CUAUAUUUAGGUUAGUUGAUGUUUUGAACAUGGGACUUCCCCAUAUAUGCCUUCCCCACCAUCCUGAAAGCCCUUCGGCUCCAAAAAAAAAAAAAAAUUGAUGCAUGGCUGCAUGAAGUUAUCAUACUUAUUGUAUGAUUUUGUGUUAAGUUGUGCACUCUUGUGUAUGAUAUCAACAAAAUUGAUGAGUCCUACAUGAGAGUAACAAUUGAAGGAGACUCCCUCAACGUCAUCAACUGGUGAUGAUAUACUUUUUCCACCCCUUGACAAUGGGUCCCUAUUUGGGAUUAUAUUGAUAGGGGCUUUCGAGGUAAGGAGGUGUCUUUUUUACAUGUUACAGACAAUGAAAUGGAAGUGCUGACGCUAUUUUCAAGGGUGUAGUGGUGUAAUGUUUUGCUGCUCACUUUUUCCUUGUCUUUUUUUUCUUUUUUUUUUUUGUUGCUUCUCUGUAAUUUUUCGAAUGAAAAGCUAUUGUUAAUUGUUCAAAGAAAA
rnacentral:lncRNA from 1 species